rnacentral:rRNA from 1 species
CUUGCUCUGUGGGAUCAGUGGCGAACGGGUGAGUAACACGUGAGCAACCUGCCCCUGACUCUGGGAUAAGCGCUGGAAACGGCGUCUAAUACUGGAUACGAACCACGAAGGCAUCUUCAGUGGUUGGAAAGAUUUAUUGGUUGGGGAUGGGCUCGCGGCCUAUCAGCUUGUUGGUGAGGUAAUGGCUCACCAAGGCGUCGACGGGUAGCCGGCCUGAGAGGGUGACCGGCCACACUGGGACUGAGACACGGCCCAGACUCCUACGGGAGGCAGCAGUGGGGAAUAUUGCACAAUGGGCGCAAGCCUGAUGCAGCAACGCCGCGUGAGGGAUGACGGCCUUCGGGUUGUAAACCUCUUUUAGCAGGGAAGAAGCGAAAGUGACGGUACCUGCAGAAAAAGCGCCGGCUAACUACGUGCCAGCAGCCGCGGUAAUACGUAGGGCGCAAGCGUUAUCCGGAAUUAUUGGGCGUAAAGAGCUCGUAGGCGGUUUGUCGCGUCUGCUGUGAAAUCCGGAGGCUCAACCUCCGGCCUGCAGUGGGUACGGGCAGACUAGAGUGCGGUAGGGGAGAUUGGAAUUCCUGGUGUAGCGGUGGAAUGCGCAGAUAUCAGGAGGAACACCGAUGGCGAAGGCAGAUCUCUGGGCCGUAACUGACGCUGAGGAGCGAAAGGGUGGGGAGCAAACAGGCUUAGAUACCCUGGUAGUCCACCCCGUAAACGUUGGGAACUAGUUGUGGGGUCCAUUCCACGGAUUCCGUGACGCAGCUAACGCAUUAAGUUCCCCGCCUGGGGAGUACGGCCGCAAGGCUAAAACUCAAAGGAAUUGACGGGGACCCGCACAAGCGGCGGAGCAUGCGGAUUAAUUCGAUGCAACGCGAAGAACCUUACCAAGGCUUGACAUAUACGAGAACGGGCC